AUAACAAUCUAGAGGUUGUGAUGAUGAGGAGGAGGUGGACUAUAAUAGUAUGGAGGUGGAGGUGACUUUUUAGGGUAAAUUGGUGGUGGUGGAGAAGGGACCGGGUAGCGCGGUGGUGGAGGGGGUGACUUAUAGUAUGGUGAUGGAGGUGGUGGAUAUAGUUCCCAAAGGGGUGGGGGUGGGCGUGGCCGAUAAUAUGAAGGUGGCGGAUGUGAGUCCCUGUAGGGUGGUGGUGGGGGUGGUGGGGACUUAUAGUAAUGUGAAGGGGGCGGAGGAGGAGAGUAGUUCUUCGGAGGUGGUGGAGAAUAGGAGUUCUUGGGAGGUGGUGGUGGAGGAGGAUAGUAGUUCUUCGGAGGUGGUGGAGAAUAGGAGUUCUUGGGAGGUGGUGGUGGAGGAGGAUAGUAGUUCUUCGGAGGUGGUGGAGAAUAAGAGUUCUUGGGAGGUGGUGGUGGAGGAGGAGAGUAGUUCUUCGGAGGUGGUGGAGAAUAGGAGUUCUUGGGAGGUGGUGGUGGAGGAGGAGAAUAGUUCUUCGGAGGUGGUGGAGAAAAGGAGUUCUUGGGAGGUGGUGGUGGGGGAGGAGAGUAGUUCUUCGAAGGUGGUGGAGAAUAGGAGUUUUUGGGAGGUGGUGGAGAAUAAGAGUUCUUGGGAGGUGGUGGUGGAGGAGAAUAGUCCUUGGGUGAGAAUGGGGGUGGUGGUGACUUAUAGUAUGGGGUAGGGGGUGGUGGUGGGGGUGAAGGUGAGUUAUAAUAUGGUAGUGGUGAUGGAGGAGAAGAGUCCUUGGGUGGGGGUAGGGGUGUUGGCAAGUUAUAGUAUGGUGAAGGUGUUGGUGAGUUAUAGUAUGGUGAAGGAGCUGGUGGUGAGUUAUAGUAUGGUGAAGGGGAUGGUGGUGAGUUAUAAUAUGGUGAAGAGGCUGGUGGUGAGCUAUAGUAUGGUGAAAGGGUUGGUGGUGAGUUAUAAUAUGGUGGUGUGGGUGAGGGUGAGUUAUAGUAGGGUGAUGGGAGUGGGGGUGAGUUAUAGUAGGGUGGCGGAGGUGAGUUAUAGUAUGGUGGUGGGN
rnacentral:lncRNA from 1 species